rnacentral:tRNA from 1 species
GCCUAGUUAGCUUGGUUCGUAGCGCGUCUGCCUUGUAAGCGCUAGGCCGCGGGUUCGAUUCCCGCCCGGGGCG